rnacentral:rRNA from 1 species
AUUGAACGCUGGCGGCAUGCCUUACACAUGCAAGUCGGACGGCAGCACGGGAGCAAUCCUGGUGGCGAGUGGCGAACGGGUGAGUAAUAUAUCGGAACGUGCCCAGUCGUGGGGGAUAACGCAGCGAAAGCUGUGCUAAUACCGCAUACGAUCUAUGGAUGAAAGCGGGGGAUCGCAAGACCUCGCGCGAUUGGAGCGGCCGAUAUCAGAUUAGCUAGUUGGUGAGGUAAAGGCUCACCAAGGCGACGAUCUGUAGCUGGUCUGAGAGGACGACCAGCCACACUGGAACUGAGACACGGUCCAGACUCCUACGGGAGGCAGCAGUGGGGAAUUUUGGACAAUGGGCGCAAGCCUGAUCCAGCAAUGCCGCGUGCAGGAUGAAGGCCUUCGGGUUGUAAACUGCUUUUGUACGGAACGAAACGGUCUUUCCUAAUACGAGAGGCUAAUGACGGUACCGUAAGAAUAAGCACCGGCUAACUACGUGCCAGCCGCCGCCGUAA